UUUGAAAAAUCAUCGAUCUAAGCAGGGGAGUCAAGAUUCAGACUCGAAUAACCAUUGCUAGCCGGAGAAAACUCAGAGAUGACCAGAGAAUAGCCAAAAAAGAAAUUGACCCAGGUAUAAACCAAACGUCGUCAAGAUCUGUCCUUGAAACCUUAAUAGUCAAACACAUAGAAGCCAAGAGAGGUAGAUACAUGCCUCUAAUGACCUUGGGGCCAUAGAUUUGGGAGGUUUUAGGGGUUGUAGUUUGGCAGCAACAACAGGGUUUCAGAGAAUUUGAGAGACAUUAAGAGAAAAGGGGAAUUCAGAGGCGGUUGUAGCUGAGAAAUGGUUAGGGUUUGGGGGGUAGUUGGGAAUCAAUUCAGGAAAGGAGGUUUGGCGGUCAUUGAUCAU
rnacentral:lncRNA from 1 species